AAUUGGGAUGUUCACUGGGGUGUGCUCGCUCCAUGCCACCCUCUUGGAGACACUUGGGUGAGCCUUUAGUUCAUGCAGAGCUCUGGCCCACGAUUUGUCAGCUCCAGGGCUUUGAGAACAUUGCUUCACUCCCUGCCAGUUUCCCCAUCAGUAAAAUAUCAUGGUGAGUCAGUUCCCUCCGAGGGCGACUGGGAGGCAUGGUGGAGUAAUGUGGGGAAGGCAGUUAAAGAACCAAAUUAUCUGCACAAUAAACAAUGCAGUCCUUCUCGUUAUUUGAAUCGAACAACUGCUGGAACUGUGAAGCUGGACAGGGCACUUGCAGUUUCCGGGAUCUCAGGUAACUUUUGAAAAGUAGACCAAAAACUCAACACCAGCAGCAGCGGCUGCGGUGGCGGUGCUCCUAAGACCUUUACCACAGGACUCUCAACUCAGACUCCACUCUGCCCCCACUCUGCCAGAGGGUAGGUGGGACAGCUGGGGCUGCCGAUGGUUCAGCCUCCCCAGUGCUGGGAUUUCAGGUUGUAAAAAGUGUGAAGAUUUCCCAGGUCUCCGAGGAGGACCAAGUGUAAGGUUGCUAACCCUUGCUGUAAUGCCACCCCGGCCCUUCACCUUAUGGUCAGUGACUCAGAAGGAUCUCAAAACCUCAAGCGAAUGGGAGGGCUUCCCGCGGGCUGGAACGCGCCUCCUUUUGGGCUUCGGUUUUCAAGCGUGAGAACGCCGGGUGACGUCAGGGCCCAGGUGUUCCCGGGAGCGCGCGCUCCGGGCGCAGCGCGAUCCCGGGAGCGGACUCUCGGGACAGAGAGGGGCAGCCCCAGGGCUCGCUCGGGCGGGUGUGCGCUCCGGGACGCCCCGCGCCGCGCUGACUUACCCAGAAGUUCCCCUUGAACAGCGAGCCCGUCAUGCCGGCGCUGGGUUGGGAGCGGAGGGCUGGGAGCGGAGGACGGAGGGCCGCUGAGGACGGCGGACAGCGGGAGGAUAGCGGGAGGACGGCCGGAUCGCCUGAUCGGAGAGCUCAGACUGUCAGGGCCAAGGUCCAGCGCAACUUUGGAGUUCCACUGUCACCCCGGGAAGCCGCCCCGGGUCCUAAACCACGCCCGAUUGCGCCGCCCCGCGCCCCGCCCGCCUGCCCGCCCGCCUGCCCGCUCCGCGCACCUGCAGAGGGCCACCCGCCCUGGCCCUAGGGCGCGGCCGGUCCAGCAGCUCUGCGGAGGGCGGUGGCCAGUCCAAACCCCAGCCUGCGGGACGUCUGAACGACUGACAGAACCGGUCCUUCUCCCUCCGGUUGCCCACUGGACUCUUCCCACCAAGCCCUCUCAACCUAGAAAUUCAGACUGUGGAUCAGUAGAAACCCUAAGAGAUGCCUUCGCCUAUGCUGUUAUUGCUACAAGGAAUGGAGUGCACGCACCGCCCGGGAGGGGACUGUGGGCUUUAGUCUAAAAUGCCAAUUCAAAUGCGUUAUCCAUAUUUCCUUUUAACUUUGCAUAUCUUAAUCUGAACUCAGUUAAGGUUUCUUCACCACCUGUCUCACCUGGCAGUAGAAGCCAGGCUGCUUUCUGCUCCCUCUAGGCUUCAACUCUUUUCAGAGAGAAAACCGGAGACUCACACCUGUAAUCCCAGUACUGAGGAAGCUGAGACUGAAGACUGAGUUCAAGCCCAGCCUGGGCUACAGUGUGAGGUCUUUCCUAAUAAGCGGAUAAACCAAAUCGGACUCCAGGGCGCGUCAAACUCCUUCUUGUUUGGAAAUAGACAAAGUACUUGUUCUAUGUGCCCAGUGUCCAGCCGGAAACUCAAGAGAGCCGAAAGAUUGCCUAGAUUCACACUUACAUAGGGAUCGAGAGACCAAAGCUAGAAGCCUGUCCUUCCUAACAGGGCCAGUGUCUUUCGGGGUAAGAAGUGUUCAUAGGGAAGAAAAUGAAAGUUAAGUUGCCAAGACUGACAUCGAGCUAGUUCUCCGUUAUGCCAAAGCAAGCAUUCUCCUCUGCUGCAGAUUCUAGUUAGAUCCCGGCACAGCACAUGACAAUCGUGGAAUGACUAGAAGAGCUCACAAGAUUUCUUUCUACUCAGUAACUCCUACUCUCAAGCCCUACCAGUAGGGUCAUCUGUAACGACAGGGAUUCGCGAGAGCACCCAGCCCUGUUACUCUUGAAGGACAUGCAUGCAUCCACCAACCCGGUUCUUCACUGAGGUUAGGGCCACUGGCUGAUUUUCUAGAGGACUUGAGUUCAAUUCCCAGCAUGGCAGCUAACAGCAAUCCCUAACUCCACAUCCAAGGAAAUCUGACACCCACUUAGUAUGUUUUUCCUAACAAGGGCAUGCAGGUGGUGCACAGACAUACAAGCCUGCAAAACAUCCAUACACAUAAAAUAUAUAUAAU
ensembl:processed_transcript